GUGUGGCAUAGUGGUUUGAGUGUUGGACUAUGAUUCUGGAGACCAGGGUUCGAUUCCCAGCUUGCCCA
rnacentral:tRNA from 1 species